UCAUCUGCUCAUCAACACCCGUGCUCACCUGCGUUCCAGCGAUCGGCCCGGAGACGUAGGAAGUCAAGGUGAAGUCGGCGGCUAGCGCGUCUGCGCUCCAACAAAGUCCUCCUGGUUGUGUUGCUGUAGUCCGCUGCUAAUACACCGAUCCCACAUACAACUGUCUUCUUUGCAGCCUUCAUUGUUCAUUAAACAAAUUGCAAAAGAUGUCCAGAAUACUGUGGAAUUAUGAAAUGAAAACAGAGCUUUUUGUAUAGGAUUCUACGGGUACCAUAACUUCCGUUAAACUGACUUCGUCACGCGCAUACGUCAUCAUACCGCCACGUUUCAGCCGGAUAUUUCCCGGGAAGUUAUAAAUGUCACUUUAUAAGUUAACCCGGCCGUAUUGGCAUGUGUUGCAAUGUUAAAAUUUCAUCAUUGAUAUAUAAACUAUCAGACUGCGUGGUCGCUAGUAGUGGCUUUCAGUAGGCCUUUAACCCUGAACGUACAUUGAAAAUACACGCAACCCUAACUCAAAAUGCCGGACAUUUGAGGCAUUUAAGAAACUCCGCCCUGACAGCUCCGCAAAAGAGGACAUGUCCGGUGAAAAGAUGACUAAUGGUCAGUCUAUCCUAGCCCGUUAGCUGCUAGCAUGCCGUGUGUUGUGCCUCGGUGUGAAUUGUUUACACAACAAGCGUUACGCUACUUAAUAUGUCCAUGUGGAAACUCGUUCGGUACAACACCGAACUGAACCGAAACCCCCGUACCGAAACGGUUCGAUACAAAUAUACGUACCGUUACUUACACCCCUAGCAAAAACACAAAAUGUGCAAUAAUUUCUCCCAAAAAGUGGAAUAUUUGCUGUGAAUUAAUUGCCGCCUUAAACAGGUCAAUCAUUCAUAACAACAUUGAUUUAAAAAAAAUCAACAAAAAAAUGAUCCCUAGUCAUAAAAGUGUAAAAAAAAAAAAGUAAUGCGUUUUUUUUCUUUCAGCUCUUAAAGCUCCACUUUACAACUUUCACUUUUGGUUGAUUUGCCAGAAGAAGACCACAGUUCCCAUGAUGCCUAGCGCACGUAGCGUCACACUGACAGGAUGUAGUAUUCUGCCUCCAGUGGCUGAUAUUAAAAAUCCGACAUUGGAUUGUUCUACAAACAUGACGCUCCUACCAAGAAUGUACCGGGGCAGAUGCAGGUCCCAAGCAAAGAAAGACCGGCAGGAGAGUUUUUUUUCUAAGGAAGUAGUCGUGGAACUAUCACGCUGGUGCCUAUUUAUUGCUACCACGCACAUUUCCGAUUGCUAACAUUAGCAUCAUUUUGAUUUGAGCAUGGAAAGUCACUUAGUAGUCCAGCAGGAACAUCAGCAUCGCUCUGAAAUUCCUGCUCUCUCAGCUCAGGCCAGCCAGUGAAAGCCAGGGCAAUGUUGAUCCUGACUGUAAGCUCCCUUUUUCUUUUUGGUCUCCUCAGACAAAACUUUUCCUUUCUUUGGUUGUUUUGGAGUUUCGGCCAUGAGAGCAGUAAUUACAAGUAGGCGUUCUUCCUUAGGCCAUGACACAACUAGUUGUAUCAUCUCAAAAGUUAUACAAAUAUGUUGAAAAAAGUCACGUAGUGCAGCUUUAAGUCUCUAAUUCAGCUUCAGAGUUUGCCAUCGAUUUUUAAAAAUGAUUUUAAUUUUUCAUUUAAAAAACAACUUUAUUUUCUAUAUGGCAUACCCACAAAAACAAUUCAAAUUGGUUAUUAGAGUCAACAUGGCAACUUUUUAUCGUUACAUUUCACCUUUUUUGCUCUUUCAUUCCACUUUUUGAUGAUUUAUUUAAACAUUUUUAGAAUGUGUGGCCGGCCGGUAAGAACUAGCUGCCCCCGGUGCACACUUUACCUUCAACACUAGAUCCACUUCACAUAUACCUGUCCAUUACAACCAGUUAUUCAGAUAUAUCUGCCCAUUAGAACCAGUUAUUCACAUAUAUCUGUCCAUUAGAACCAGUUAUUCACAUAUAUCUGUCCAUUAGAACCAGUUAUUCACAUUUAUCUGUCCAUUAGAACCAGUUAUUCACAUAUAUCUGUCCAUUAGAACCAGUUAUUCACAUUUAUCUGUCCUUUAGAACCAGUUAUUCAGAUACAUCUGUCCAUUAGAACCAGUUAUUCACAUAUAUCUGUCCUUAACAACCAGUUAUUCAGAUAUAUAUGCCCAUUAGAACCAGUUAUUCAGAUAUAUCUGCCCAUUAGAACCAGUUAUUCAGAUAUAUCUGCCCAUUAGAACCAGUUAUUCAGAUAUAUCUGUCCAUUAGAACCAGUUAUUCAGAUACAACUGCCCAUUAGAACCAGUACUCAGUAUUCAGAUAAAUAUGUCCAUUAGAACCAGUACUCAGUAUUCAGAUAUAUCUGUCCAUUAGAACCAGUACUCAGUAUUCAGAUAUAUCUGCCCAUUAGAACCAGUACUCAGUAUUCAGAUAAAUAUGUCCAUUAGAACCAGUACUCAGUAUUCAGAUAUAUCUGUCCAUUAGAAGUUGUUAUUCUUCAGGCCCGAGCAGCGGAGCAAGCACCGCAGGGGCCUUAUUUAUUAUUGUUAUUAUUAUUUAGAUGCCUUUUUGAAGCCCUUAACAUCCAUGAAAACUCUUAUCAGGGUCGGUGAAAAUGUUUAUAAUUUGGGGGUGCCGAAAAUGACAUUUCAAAAUUGUCUCUCCAAUAUUUUUCUUUGUUUUAUGCUCUUUUUUUUUUCAAUGAACAUUUUUUUUUAUGUGGCAAACACACUAUUUUCCUAAUGAAUGAAUUGGAGCCAUGAAUAGUUGAUAGUAUUUGUAGAAAAGUUUGGACGCCCCUGCAAAGAUGAGAUAGUUGACCUGCAGUGACGUGUCAAACCUCAACCAGAAGGGAUUUCCCAGUCAAUAAGUCCACUGCCAGGUGUCUCCAUCCAGUACCAGUACCAGUACCAGUACCAGAACCUCCUUGUGUGUGUGCAGUGAAACACUGCAAUAUACUCCACCAUAUACAGCACAUAUAUUAUUCUCUCUAUAUAUGAAUAUAUACAUAUUUAGCGUUGACAUAUGAAUGUAUGAGCAAGGUGUCUGUAACGUGUCUUAUAUUCUCCAACCAUCACAUGACCUAUACGACUACAUGUGAUGUGCAUGUCUGUGAUCGUCACUAAACCAUAUUUGUGCGUUGACGCUCAGGCACAGGUGGCAGUCCGGCUUGUUGUCAUCCCAGGGUGCCCCACUAGGGGGCGCUCUCACGUCCGUCCAGAUCGCCCGGCUCGUUUGGUAGACGGCCAGCUAAAUGUGUUCCGGUGGUUCAGACCCGACUAAUGGCUGCCAGAUGCCUUGGCUGAGGUGUAGCCAUGCGUGGGGAGGUCAAGUGGAGCUGCAGGGAGAAUACUACCAUGUUGGGGUGGGGCGCACCGUGUCCUUUGGCCAACCCCUGUUGUUUGUUGGAACACACUCAUGGUGACCCAGAGACCACACAAAGUUAGAUGGACUAUCAGCAACAACACAGUGGUACCUCGCUUCUUCUUAGCCUUUUCUUCCAACAGCUCCGAAAAACCUUAGAAAUAAUGUAAUCCGUUCCAAAAACCCCCACAUUUGAUUUAUAGCAAUAGAAAUAAUGUAUUCAUCCGUUCCAAAAACCCCCACAUUUGAUUUAUAGCAGAGGUUCUCAACCUGUUUGACCAAACAUUUCCACUACAGUUGGACUCAAAUACUAACACUGAAUUAGUCAUCUACCACCUUCAUUUAUUGUGUCUAAACUACUUUCAGUUUACCAGAGUAAGUUCAUCUUAAAGAUGAUUUUGUUAUCUAACAAACAAACCUUAGGCUUAGGUCAGGCUGAUUUCAAUAAUACAUACUAGUCAAAUUUCUGCAAAAGAAGAGACUCCUAAAAACUGAUGGAAAAUACAUUUACAUGCCAUUACGCAGUGCUAAAAUUGAUGAAUUCUAACUAAUUAGUGAUCAAUAAUAAUGAUGUAUUUCUUCAGUAAACUGUCGAUAAAAUUAAAAUGCAAAAUAAAAUACAGCUUCACCACUUUAGUCAUCAUUUUUGCGCUUAAAAACAUCUCUGACUUUAGCGCCAGAUUUCUUCUGUUUGUUUUGAUAUUGUCAUUACUGCCACAAGUGGUGGGAAAGUGUAUUACAACCGCUGAGAAACAUUUUCAGCUGGUUAAGAAACAUUUAUUUAUAGAAUAUCAUUAGUUUUACACGCAGAAAACAAUAUACAUGUGUCAUGAUACAUGAAAGACUCUAGUUGGCGAAGAGGGGAAGGAAGAGCCUCAUUUUUGUAUUUUGAUAUGACUUUUUCUAUUAGUGUUUCUCACCAUCUUUUUCAAAGUGCUGGCACUCACAACAUUAUUUGGCCCUAAGGUGGAUUAUUUUGCAGUGGAAAAUAGAAUCCUACAAAAAAAAGGUUCCACUGUACCCCAAAUUGAAAACAGUCUUAAUGCAAAAGAAGAGCAGGAUACAUUUUAAUCUCUUUAAUGAGCUGUUUGCUACCUUUACUUGGAUGCCUACAGCUAAUGAUAGCUAUUUGGCUAGUUUUAGCUCCAAACGUUAGCGAUCAUUGACUGUAUGGCAACAAACUGCCAUACAGUGAAACUUUAUCAGCAUAUACCUGCUUUAAUUUGGUCAAUAUCCAUAAAUGUUGGUAUUUUGGGUUAGGGUUGUCCCAAUACCAGUAUUUACAUACUUUUCAAAAUAAAGGGGAUCAAAUGCAUUUUUGGCUUAAUUUUGACCAAAAAUCUUACAACACAUUAAACAUUCUGCUAAUUGCGCUCAAAGAACAAUUUUAGAAGAUUAAAAUGCAUUAAACACGCUGAGCUUUUCCUGUUGCACUCAAAGAACAAUUGUAUUUAUUACAUAUAGUCUGCCAUAAUCUAGGACAGGGGUGGGCAAUUAAUCUUUACCGGGGGCCGCAUGAGCAACCCGAGCACUGCUGGAGGGCCACACUGACAAUAUUUCAAUUAAAUUUUGCUCAAAUUAUUUUUGAUAUACCGUAAGAUAAAUAAUAUAAUAAUAAUAAUUUCAUUCAACCUAACUUAAUUUUAUACAAAAGCAGAUGGCUUUUGAUGGUUUUAUUUGUAACACUGUCUUACACAACACUUCCUGAUGUAUAAUACAAUGCAAAAAUGUCCAUUUCUGUCACUUUAUCCUGCAUCCUCUUUAAAAGUCCAACAUUUUAUUUGGACAACCAUCUGUUGUCACACCUGCCAGCUUGUCCCAUUUCAGUCCCAACAUGUCCAAACACGCAUUUACCUAUGUGAACAAGUCAUUACCUGUGGUUGUCUCUUUAAUUGACUGCAUGGCUGCCAGCUCCUCCGUGAUUUGAAAGUCUGCAGUUGUCCCACGUAAGAAGAUGAGCAGCUGGGCGGUGUCACGUACAUCGCAGCUCUCAUCCAAAGCCAGAGAAAAACAGUCAAAGUCGGCCGUUCUGUUCUUCAGCUGAAGCUCCAAGUUUCCAGCCAUGGUCUCAACCCGCCUCGUUACAGUGCGUCGGGAGAGUGACACGUUCUCAAAUGAUUAGCCUCACGCGGGCCUGACAGGGACGCACAAAGGGCCGGAUGUGGCCCGCGGGCUGUAAAAUGCUCAGUUAGAAUAGCUAAAAAAUAUUUACUGAUAUUGCAUUAAAUGCUUCAUCAUUUAUGUUUGCCACUCUUGGUCUGUGCUUUAAGACAAAUAAAAUCAUCAGGAAACACUCAAAUCAAUACUAUAGCUAAAAAGUACACAAAUUGUAGCAAGUUGUUAGAGAAUUCAGUCAUUGGACUUGUAUGAGUCUGCGCUACGUGGGCGGUUUGGACCGUACUAACGUUUGCCGUCAAGCUGCGUCUACACAGCAGGGGAGCUAACUACAUAACCUUUAACCCCACUGUGCAGGUCUCCAUCAUUGUUAUACAAAUGUUUGGCUCAGUUUGAAUUAAAGUGUCAGAUUCAAACACUGAUGACAUCUAUUAAACAAGACAAGAAGCAAAGAAUCAAACAGAAACAGAAUUAAAUUUGGACUCAAUUUUGCGGAGAGACGCGGCCACCGUACUCUCUGCACGGUCUUGCACCACGCUCUGCCAAAAGAUGGCACUCCUUUAUUUGACUUUCUCCCCCCACCUGGCCACAGCUGCUUCCAGAGGGAAGUGGGUCGUAAACAGCAUUGCCUUUGGUUAUCGAACAGUUCAAAAAGAGUUCGUAAAUUACUUCGAAAAGAGUUCGUGUGGAAAUUGGGCAGAUCCUGCCAUCUGUCCGCUUUGAAGUCACAGUGGAGUUUUACGAGCCUUCCUCCUGGUAGGCCCCAAAGACAGCCCCCGUCCCCCUGCCAGGAACUCAGUGUAAUACAAAGCUGGAUCAUUUAGAAAUAAUUAUUACAUAAAGAUUGUACUACUUUAAUCAUACCACUUUGGCCAGGCGGAUGAAAAAAAAGGCCUUAUAGUAUCGUUGUCAAUUCAUUAGUACUGCCAUACUUUAUUAGGAGCGCUUCUACCGUACAAGUACAUAUAUAGCUAGGUAUAAAAUGAAUGUUAAACCACUAUUGGCAACAUAAGCUGGUGUUGUUGUUGUAUUUGUGGGUCACUUUGAGCAAGUUACAAACUUCCUUCAUGUCCUGUUAUGUGUUUAUUUUCUCCUCCUCACAAGUCAACACUGCCACCUGCUGUCUGCUCAAUGUAUUGCCUUGUACGCCUUCCGCUGGGUGGAAACGUGAGCCGCGUUCCCGACACGUCGGUCCCGGUGUGCUUGGCGUAACGGCGGCGCCGAGGUAUUGUUGCGAAGCCUUGAAUGUGAAAAGUGUAUGUCGUCCUAUAACCUGCACUGAAAUGGUGAAUUGCUGCAUUUAUGGCUACGUGUCCUGUAAAUAUAAACCUUUGGUGAACUUGUCGCAGGGGCGAUAGGGAAAGUUUCAUGAUUGGUGACGUGCUUUCUUGUUGGACGAGGCGCCCCGUCUUCAUUGUAGGCGCCCCGUCUUAAUUGUAGGCACCCCGUCUUCAUUGUAGGCACCCCGUCUUAAUUGUAGGCACCCCGUCUUCAUUGUAGGCACCCCGUCUUAAUUGUAGGUGCCCCGUCUUCAUUGUAGGCGCCCCGUCUUCAUUGUAGGCGCCCCGUCUUAAUUGUAGGCGCCCCGUCUUCAUUGUAGGCGCCCCGUCUUAAUUGUAGGCGCUGGUUUCCAGCAGGGAGGAUUGGGAAAGCUUCACAUUUUCAAGUUAAGUCGUACGUUUGUUCAUUUGACUCCCAAACAACUUCCCCUGGUUUUUUUUGGAGUACAAAUGUGACGUCUCCUGUGGCCUAAUUUGGACUCAAAGACUGCUUUGUUUGACAAGUGAUACUCCACACUCAUCUGGCUCACCUUUUUUUUCCCCCUCCACCCGAGACUUUUCCCUCAAAGCACCAACAACAUGGCCUUGGAGGCAGACGCCAUCUUGUCCCACUGGUUUUCUAAGAGUCCACUGCCUGUCUUUGUGCUCCUGGACUGACCACCACGCUGCAUAUUUGACCACACGGCAGCCCACCACAAGCCUUACAAGGUGUGUUGUUCGCUUUUGUCUAUUUCACCUCACCACAGGAAGGCAAGGCUUUGUUGAAGUGCACUUGAUUUAAGACCGCAAUCUUCUUUUUCUUAUAUUGGACUUUCAACUUUGUUCAAAAUAAACUGCUGAGUUAUCACUCUGGCUUUCUACUCA